rnacentral:rRNA from 1 species
GAUGAACGCUGGCGGCAUGCCUAAGACAUGCAAGUCGAACGAAGUGGCCCAUUGAUGAUUGAGUGCUUGCACAAUUUCUGAUAUGGAAUUCUACUUAGUGGCAGACGGGUGAGUAACACGUGGGUAACCUACCUCGAGGACUGGGAUAACAGUUAGAAAUGACUGCUAAUACCGGAUAAUUCAUAUUUAGAUAACUAGAUAUGCUAAAAGGAGCUUCGGCUUCACCUAGAGAUGGGCUUGCGUUGUAUUAGCUUGUUGGUGGGGUAAUGGCCUACCAAGGCAACGAUGCAUAUCCGAGCUGAGAGGCUGAUCGGACACACUGGGACUGAGACACGGCCCAGACUCCUACGGGAGACAGCAGUUAGGAAUAUUCGUCAAUGGGGGAAACCCUGAACGAGCAAUGCCGCGUGAGUGAUGAAGGUCUUAUUGAUCGUAAAACUCUGUUGUAGAGGAAGAACCCUUAUCAUAGGUAAUGAUGAUAAGCUGACGGUACUCUGCCAGAAAGCCCCGGCUAACUACGUG